rnacentral:rRNA from 1 species
GACGGAGGGUGCUAGCGUUGUUCGGAUUUACUGGGCGUAAAGGGCGCGCAGGCGGCAGACCAAGUCAGGCGUGAAAGCCCCGGGCUUAACCUGGGAGGUGCGUCUGGGACUGGUAUGCUAGAGUUCGGGAGAGGAGAGUGGAAUUCCCAGUGUAGAGGUGAAAUUCGUAGAUAUUGGGAAGAACACCGGUGGCGAAGGCGGCUCUCUGGACCGAGACUGACGCUGAGGCGCGAAAGCGUGGGGAGCAAACAGG